rnacentral:rRNA from 1 species
AGAGUUUGAUCCUGGCUCAGAGUGAACGCUGGCGGCAGGCCUAAUACAUGCAAGUCGAACGGCAGCACAGCAGAGCUUGCUCUGUGGGUGGCGAGUGGCGGACGGGUGAGGAAUACAUGGGAAUCUGCCCAGUCGUGGGGGAUAACGUAGGGAAACUUACGCUAAUACCGCAUGCGCCCUUCGGGGGAAAGCCGGGGACCUUCGGGCCUGGCGCGAUUGGAUGAGCCCAUGUCGGAUUAGCUAGUUGGUGGGGUAAAGGCCCACCAAGGCGACGAUCCGUAGCUGGUCUGAGAGGAUGAUCAGCCACACUGGAACUGAGACACGGUCCAGACUCCUACGGGAGGCAGCAGUAGGGAAUAUUGGACAAUGGGCGCAAGCCUGAUCCAGCCAUGCCGCGUGUGUGAAGAAGGCCUUCGGGUUGUAAAGCACUUUUAUCCGGAAAGAAAAGCGCUGGGUUAAUACCCUGGUGUCCUGACGGUACCGGAAGAAUAAGCACCGGCUAACUUCGUGCCAGCAGCCGCGGUAAUACGAAGGGUGCAAGCGUUACUCGGAAUUACUGGGCGUAAAGCGUGCGUAGGUGGUUUGUUAAGUCUGACGUGAAAGCCCUGGGCUCAACCUGGGAAUUGCAUUGGAUACUGGCAGGCUAGAGUGCGGUAGAGGGUAGUGGAAUUCCCGGUGUAGCAGUGAAAUGCGUAGAGAUCGGGAGGAACAUCUGUGGCGAAGGCGACUACCUGGACCAGCACUGACACUGAGGCACGAAAGCGUGGGGAGCAAACAGGAUUAGAUACCCUGGUAGUCCA